AAAGGUUCUGGUGAGGGAAGUUCAGGAUAACAAUAACAACUACACACAGACACACACACUCACAUACAGCAUAUAGACACAUGCAUACACACAUAUGCAUACAUAACGAGGGCAUACACACGUUAAUAAACACACAUACAGAUAGCGCCCACGCAUGCACGCAUACAUACACACAGACACACACACAAAUAGCAUAUACGUACACACACACACACACACACACCUGCAUGCAUGCAGAUAGCACAUACAUGCAAACACAAAUUGAGACAACUGGUGAGAUGAAUGCUUGGAUGCAAUACUGCUUAGUUUUGAUUUGAUAACAUUAUGAACACUACAGAGGAUGGUUUAAUUUGAGUCUGUUCAGAUUUUGUUUCAUUUAAAAAAAGGCUUAAUGUGAGAAACAUUUCAUUUUUAAAGUCUCAACAUGCUUGAAUGAAUCCUCCUUGUGAAUGUAAAAUACAGUUACAGUAAUGUUAACAAGAGGAUACUUGUCCAUAUGCCAGAUCCUAAACUUGUGUAAUAUGUGUAAUCCUGCCUUGUGCCGUCCCAUUCUCGUCUAUAGAGGGCGCUCUAACAGAAUUCCCCUGCUUACUCAUCAUGAUGUCUCCCUGUGAUGCCACCAGACAGCUGCACAUCCCAAGAAUACGUCCAGACCAUUUAAAAGCAGGCAACUUAUUGCCAACUAUAAACUUGCCAGUUAUUCAAACUAGAAUUGAUUCUCAAACUGUUCUUAUUUUGGGUGGUAAGAUAUAUUAUAAUUUAGAAAACUAAGAAGUAUAGAGAAACGUUUUUCUCUGGCUUUCGUUGUUUUGUUCUAUUUCUGUAACAUUCCUGUGUUCUGACGUCCCUACAACCCGAGGGCUGGGUUAUGGAAACCACCAACAUGUGAAUGACUUGCCUGGUAAAAAAAAUAGUUUAAAUUAAGAAAUAAAUCAAUAUGAUCAUAUCAGUAACUCUGACUUAUUACACUAUCAUUACUUUAUUGAAUCACUAUCCCUCAUCCUUCAUCUCAUAAUGUUUAAACCCAUGGUGACUAUGACCACACUGAUGUUUUUUUUCAUACAGACAUCAACAAACCAAUGAUGACUGUGAGGGUGACAAAGGAUCUAUUUAAGAUGCAGUGAUGCAGAGCCGACCUUCGGGUUCAGAUGUUCUAGAAGGAGCCCUCAACGGGACACGGGGUUCAGUGUGAUGAAGGAUACUUCCACUCCACGAUCUUGGUGCAGGCCUUGCGGAAGGGGUUCUUCAAGCCGAAGAGGAAGAGGGUCCUGGCGGGCCGAGGGUUGCCCCCCGUGGCCUGCAGCUUCUUCAGCUUCUCUCGCUGUUUCCUCUUCAGCUCCUCCUCGUUCAUGAUCACCGGCUUGGCCACCUCGCCGUUUGACGCCAUCUUGGAGCCGAGGGAGGGCGACGACUCUCUAGUCCGGUCCCUGGGCGAAUGUGUCGCCUUUGCACCCGAGUAUUCCACAAACAAGACACCAAAAGGCCGCGGUCAGAGAUACU